rnacentral:sRNA from 1 species
ACUGAGAAGAGACACCCUCAUGGACUAUGCGUGGUGCAUUGUAGUAAUUCAGAGCGAGUUCGCCCACAAUGCAAACAGGUAUGCCAUCAUCUUGCAACAACGCCAACAACCAGCGGAUGUCCUCAAACUCCAUUGCAGUGGUUGGAGGGCUGAUGGAUGAUGGGCGUCCAGGGACGUGCCAAAUGUCAAAUGGGAAAUACUGGUAGGCAGCUGAGUCUUGGGGAAAACAGAAGGCGAGUUCGUGAACUUGAGGCAAAAGUAUAUUUACCAUAAGAAAUUUGGUGUUUGCUUUGUGGUCAAGUGCUAUGUGACAUACAUUCGAUAAAUAACUAGGGGGUUAAAUAUCUGGG